AUCUCUGUAGCUUAGAUAUUUUAAAGCAUUG
rnacentral:tRNA from 1 species